CCUACGGCGGUGCAGCAGUGGGGAAUAUUGGACAAUGGGCGAAAGCCUGAUCCAGCCAUGCCGCGUGUGUGAAGAAGGCCUUCGGGUUGUAAAGCACUUUCAGUGGGGAAGAAAGCCUUGGGGCUAAUACCCUCGAGGAAGGACAUCACCCACAGAAGAAGCACCGGCUAACUCCGUGCCAGCAGCCGCGGUAAUACGGAGGGUGCGAGCGUUAAUCGGAAUUACUGGGCGUAAAGCGCGCGUAGGCGGUCUGAUAAGCCGGUUGUGAAAGCCCCGGGCUCAACCUGGGAACGGCAUCCGGAACUGUCAGGCUAGAGUGCAGGAGAGGAAGGUAGAAUUCCCGGUGUAGCGGUGAAAUGCGUAGAGAUCGGGAGGAAUACCAGUGGCGAAGGCGGUCUUCUGGACUGACACUGACGCUGAGGUGCGAAAGCGUGGGUAGCAAACAGGAUUAGAUACCCUAGUAGUC
rnacentral:rRNA from 1 species